CGAGUGUUCCCACAAUUUAAUGAAACCAAUUAGAAAGACCCGGCGAUUAACAGGACAGAGAGUCGGAGCGAUUCACGAUGGGCUUUAUCUCUAUCUUCGGCGACAAGCAACAACAAAGGCUGUCCGAUGUUUCAGGAUUCAAGAAAAUCCAAGGGUUGAGGAGAAUCUGAUCCAAUUUAUUGUCAUUAACUUGGGAAAUUAUGUGGAAAAGAGAGGAUUGCCUGCUGGAGUAAAUUGGGAAGUUGCCUUGUACUUGAAAUUGCAGGAGACAGUGCACUGACAUGCUUCACAAGGUCAUGGAGUCUGUAGUCCCUGUUGACAACAAUUGGGUGAUGAAUGAGUUGUUUGGAACAGGUGAGACUUCCUCUUGAUUUCAAGAACUUCGGAUUAUACUUUCAUUUGCACUAUCAAUUUGAAUCUAUUUUACCAAGUUGAUGUAUGAGAGAUUCUACUUGGCAGCCUUUUUCCCCCAAUUUUGUAUAUCUUUUGCUUUCAUUUAAUCUCUAAUCCAAUUUUCUCAUAUUUUUGUGAGAGAUCUAUAUAAGAUUUUGCAAUUUAGAAGUCAUGCUUUACUUUGUAUCAACUUCACCUAGUCAUAAAUAAUGGCGCACUCAAAUUUACCAUUGCACAGGAAGCAGUAUGAGGCCAAUUUUGAGUAUCCUGAUGUAUUUGAAUGACUGCUACAGAUAGAUAUAAUGGUUUUUUGGUCUGAGUGAUGUCAAUUCAACGCUUUUUGUUCAUUUCAUUUUUUAAAUUUCUAACAACUAGCCAUAGUUCACAGAGAUUGAGGAAUGACUCAAAUAAGAAAGGUAAAAUCUUUCUUCAUAUAAUUGUACAAAGUCGUCGUUGUCUUAUUACAUGAUGUGUACAGUUCCAAGAGUAGGAGUUCGUACUAUGAGUUGGAUCAUGUCAUUAACAAUUAGCAUCUAAUGGCCAAGCUUCCUAUAGUUCUGCUGUCCAUCCAUGUAUAACAGAGAAAUGUUAGGCUUAUUUAAUUCGUUUUAAUACAGUAAUCAACAAGUCAUAUAUCAUCCACAAGGCAUCUAGCAGCAUAAUGAUAAAAAUGAUGCAAAUUGGAUGAUGAGAAGCAGAUGAGUAUUGUAAUUUAUAUGCAACAGUUGUUGUACAUCAUCCUGGCUUUUCAUUUGCAUGGAAUUUUGAGGUGACUCUUAGGAAACUGAAUUUACAAUUACUGUUGGUAUAUAUCUGUGACUUAGAACUUCUAAUGCAGUUUUUGCUCUAAGUUUUAGUGGUUAGUUUUAAAAAGGAGUUCAUUCUAGGCAAGCAACUAAAGGACUUAAUAUGGACACUUCCAUUCAUCGUAUCUUUGUUAAGGGAUCUGAAAUGCUGCAGAUUAUACUUUUUGCUUCCAAUGUGAAAAUUUAAUAUAGAUUUUUAAUAUAUGAGAUUCUUUUGACAAAAAAAGAUGUUGUAUGUAAUCUAGUAAGAGCAACUCUAAUGGUUUUCAUGCUUAUUGGAUUAUCUAAUUCAGGGAUCUACUGGAGGUCAUGUCAUGGUAACAUUAUGAUGUCAUUUGAUAUUUUAGUUGAUUGGUAUUUGACAAUAACUUUCCUUACUAUAGUUUGUUAGAGCAACUCUAAAGUCUAGAUACACUAGAAGGGAGCAGCUAAAAUAGUUUUAGACUCAUGUACUAGGUACAGAUGAGCUUCCUUACAUGUUUGGCUGCUUGCAUUCCAUAGGUUAGAAUAAGGACAGAUGAGCUUGCGUUCAUUAGUGGAAAACUGCUUAAGCAGAAACUAUGACACAGUUGGAAGCUAUUGGAGUCAAGAGAUUACAGGUAAGUUACUUUACCUUAACAGGUGAUGAAAGUCAUUUUUCUUUUACUUUUGUUAAAGGGUAUUGAUUUCAACAAGACAGCAGGGAAAACAGGGCAACCAUACGACUACCUCUCUGAUGGCAAAUGUAGCAAGCGGGACGGAAGAUUAUCUAAUACGGAGGAGGAAUAUCUUUGAUCCUACAAAGAAACUGAAUGACAUAAAAAUAGAUAUGACUUAUCUGGAAUGGUACAAGAAGGUGUCAAUUGAGCAGGGAGGAUACUAUGAUAGUUACAAACUUUGGCGUUGGAAAAGUCGGGAUGAAAUCAAAAGCAGACAUGAAAUCAUGAAGCGCAAGAGAAUUCUCACUCGAUACUGGAGAGGCAUAGUUGAUGAAGUAGAGCAAAUGCCUCAAAAAGAAGGGGUGGCUUUUCAGACUCGUUGGCUUUAUGCAGGAACCAAUUACCAAAGAAUGGUUGAACCACUUGAAAAUAGAUAGACAAUAGAUGGUUUGGGUUGGAGAAGUUAUUGAGCGGAAAAAUCAGGAAAGUAGAGGUUUUGAUUAGUUAUUUUUUCUUAAAAAAGGAAGGAAAGGGUGUUGGGGAAUGAAUACAACAGAAUCCUGCUAUUAGCUGGCAAUCUUAAAAAUAGAAGCCGGGUCCACUCUUUAUUCAAUUUUUGAUUAUUUUCAUAUAAUAAUAAUACAAUAGGGAUAUUCUUUUCUAGAGAAGUUUUGAGUAGUGAGGAUGCAAGAUGUAUAUCGCAAUGGCAUGGCAUGUGAUUGACAAUGGAUCACAAGCAAUUUAUUUAUUGCAUAAGGAAAAAUUUUUAUUC